GAGGUCGGAGUUCAGUCUUCCCAGGCCCACCACGCUUCGCCGUCGGCUUCGCAUGGCACCGCCAGGCAGAACGACGAGGCGAAGCGCGUCCGGCAUAGCCCGAAGGGCGACGCCGGACAGAAAGAGCGCUUCGUCUUCUGGUUACGGGGCCAUAGCUCAGCUGGGAGAGCGCGUGCUUUGCAAGCAUGAGGUCGUCGGUUCGAUCCCGUCUGGCUCCACCAGAUGGUUUGAUCACCGAGAUCUUGACCGUCGUCCGCGAAACAUCACUUCGCAUCCUGCUAGUCUGGAUAGACAGCAAGUUGCGUGUUUUCUGACAUCGUAAAGAGGAGAUCGAUCCGAGUUGGAUCGUGCAACAUAUCGUUGCGCGAGCCUUCAUUAUCUCCGGAUCAUUUCGGCGCUCGCUUCCAGCCGUGAGGUUGGAUGCGGGUUGUAAAUGAUCCUUUUAGCGAAGCUUGACCGCCUCGCUAUCGGAACGAUCUUACGAAGCAAGCUGGUCUUUCUAGUCAAUGUCCGGCUGUACGUAGCAUUCAUCGAGGGUGCGCGCCCGAGAUUUCGGUCUCUUGGCAAUCGUACAGACAACAUUCUGCCGAGUGUGUGGACAUUGAUAAUGAGAGCAAUCAAGUGCCUUAAGGGUGUUCGGUGGAUGCCUUGGCGCUGAGAGGCGAUGAAGGACGUGCUACGCUGCGAUAAGCCGUGGGGAGCUGCGAAGAAGCUUUGAUCCGCGGAUUUCCGAUG
rnacentral:misc_RNA from 1 species